UACGUAGGGUGCGAGCGUUGUCCGGAAUUACUGGCGUAAAGAGCUCGUAGGUGGUUUGUCGCGUUGUUCGUGAAAACUCACAACUCAAUUGUGGGCGUGCGGGCGAUACGGGCAGACUGGAGUACUGCAGGGGAGACUGGAAUUCCCGGUGUAGCGGUGGAAUGCGCAGAUAUCAGGAGGAACACCGGUGGCGAAGGCGGGUCUCUGGGCAGUAACUGACGCUGAGGAGCGAAAGCGUGGGG
rnacentral:rRNA from 1 species